GGCUCAGGCGUUCGACGGCUGCCAGCACGCACGCGCUGCGGCGGGCCACACGCCCCAGGAAGUCACCAGGUAUGUGCUGAGGACUGCUUUGUUCCAGGACCCACCAGGUUGAGUGGGGAGACAGAGACGUCCACAAAUAAUGACAACACAACAUGGAUGUAAGUUCCACAAGAGCAGGAUCUUAUCUGCCUUCAAACAUUGCCUGGAACAUGG